GUAUCACCUCAUUUUUACUAAAGUGAAAAGCAAAUGAGAUUACCUUCAGGCCAGGUCUUGACGCUUCCUGAUCUUUCAUAAGGAGAACCAUGUUUGAGCACUGGUUUCUGCUCCUUCCAGGUCUCUCCUAUUGCCUUCUGUUUGUGUUCACCUAACUUCACUCCUUAGCUCAAAUUGGUCUAUUUUUGCCCCCAUCGUGAUUGUUAGAUUUCUCCUGGUAACUAAGCAGUUAAAAAAAAAAAAAAAUCCUUUUUGCCUCAAGGUAGAAAUAAGAGUUUAGUGGGGAAAAAAAAUACAGAUGUGACAGGUGUGUGUGUAUUCAAAGAAGCAAUGUGUCUAGUGUCUAGAGACUUUUUCUUGUCUCUAAGCUCUAAACAAUAGAGGAGCUAAGGCACCAGGGUCACUGGCCUGUCAGGGGAUCCAAAUUACAGUUGUUUCUAGUCCACCAUCCUCCAGCUGCUCCCUUGAGCCAGAGCUGUACUGGCUGACUUUGUAGGACAAUGUGGGUAACAUCUGAAAUCUACAAGGCUCUAGAUUUUCCUCUUUUUAGGUAGAGUUCUAGAGUAUGAUGGCCACAUCAGGAAGUCCCUCGCCUUGUCUACUUCCUGUAAGACAAGGAACUUAAGCUCAGAUUCUGUUAGCUAUAGAGAGGUCCAGAGAGCAGGAAGUGCUUGCUAAGGCAGUCUUCUUGAGUAGCAUCCACUAGGAAACAUAGCCCAACAGAGAGCCUCAUCUGUUUGUGAAAGAGGACAAACUAGAAACAUUCACUCAGCCCAGUUUAACCCAACUUUAAACAUGUACAGAAGAGGGAAGUAGUGGGAAGGGGUCAGACACCCUGUAGGAAAUGGGUUUGCCCCCUAACAUUGUAGAGUAAAAUGAGCUUUUCUGACUUGAGCUUGCAUUCUGAUUUUUGCCAAUCAUUAUAUGACCAUAAAUAUGUAAUCUCAUUGAACUGUUUCCUUAUCUGUAAAAUAAGAGUAUAAUACCUACUUCACCAGCUUUUUUAAGGAUCAGGUGAAAUAAUACAUGUAAAGUGAGUAGUGGAGUUCCCAGGCUAGGGAUCUAAUCGGAGCUACAGCUCCCAGCCUAUGCCACAGCCACAGCCACGCCAUAUCUGAGCCUUGUCUGUAACCUAUACCACAGCUCAUGGCAACGCUGGAUCCUUAACCCACUGAGCAAGGCCAGGGGUCGAACCUGCAACCUUAUGGUUCCUAGUCGGAUUCGUUUCCACUGCCACAGCGGGAACUCCUUAAAUGUCUUCUGAAUUUUACAGUUGGUUGCCAAAAUGAACUUUAGUUUAUGGUCAGUUUCUGAUUAAUUCCUGCUAUUUGCAGUUUUAAAAAUACUUAUAUUUUAAACCGUGGUAGUUCUAAGUGUUGGUCAUGUUUAAACUAUAUCCUAUUCAGUAUAGAUAACUAAAGAUUAUUUUACUUAUGGAUUUUAAUUGUAGACCCCAAAAAAUCUUCCCACAGAAAGGAGAAUUUAGAAAAAUUUUAAUAGUGUUCCAUUGAUUUGUAUUUUAUGCAGAUUAUAAACUUCUCUAAGUAUCCACAAAUAAUACAAAUAGUUAUACUCAAAAUAUUUUGAGACGGAUUAUUUCAUAUGUAUAUAAUUAAGGUAAACAGAUCUUUAUGCAUGGUGUUUUUGUUGGUGAUAGGGAAGAUGAUAUGAAGAGGAUAAAGGGUACAUCAUGAUGGGUUCUGUUUUUACUUUGGUUGGUAACUCCAAAAUCAUGUCUCAGUCUCCCAUCAUUAACCCACACCUCAGCCCUGCAUUUCUAGCUGUCCAUUGGGCAUGCACCUGAGUGAUCCCCUGAAAACUAAAACUACUAUUUCUUUCUUUCUACCGACUUUUUGUUUUCCUCCUCAGAUUUUCUAGUCUCUUAAUAUUCUAGUCUCCUGGUCAUUUAGUGGAAAAUGGUUUGACCUUUUCUUAUCACCUAAGCUUAUGUGUCUGCUGAAGAGUUUAACACAUUUGAACAUCUGAUCUUCCUUUUUCUUACCCCAGGCACUUGUAAGAUGAAAAUUGGAGAGCCAGUGUUUAAUCAUUUUUAGAGAGGGAGUUCCCUGGUGACUCAAUGGAUUAAGGAUCUGGUUUUGUCACUGAUGUGGCUUGGGUUUGAUCCCUGGCCUUGAAAUUUCCUCAUGCCGUGGGCAUGGCCAAAAAAUUUAAAAAAAAAUUUUUUUUUAAUUAAAAAGAAAAAUCUGAAAAGCAUCUUUAAUUUUCUGUGUGCACCAGGCUAUAAUGCCAUGUCCUUGACAGUGUGUUGGCAGUAUGAAUGACUAGAUGAAUUUUUAAAAAUUUUAGUUCUGUAUAGAUCAGUAACCUCAGUCUAAAUAUCUGGUGCCCCAUGAUGAAGCCACAUCUGUAGGUGGACACUUGAGGUCUUUUACAGUCUGACCAGUUUCUUUCUGCCUGCUUUCAUCUCGAUUCCUCCACUUGCUUUUAUGAACCCUGAUUAUCUCCAGCUAGCUGAAUCCUUCAAAAUCCAGGCCAAAUUCCAUCUCUAUCUUUACAUCUUCCUAGAACUGGAAAAUUCCAUUCUUUGAGCUCAUUGUUGGUUCCUAUGUGCAGUUCAUUUUGUAUCGCCUUUUGAGUUUGGGGGUAAGUUUUGCCUUGAGAUGACAUUUAAUUCUUUUAUUUGUUUUGAACAGUAGACAUCUGAUAUAUUUGUCCUGUAGUGCUGAUUCAGGUUGAGAGUUGCAGUUUCACAAUUUGUAAUGCGAACAAUUCUCAUUUCACCUCUUAAGAUAUUCCCAAGCUAAACUAUAAAUUAUAAAUAGGCAUGCCAUUAAGUUUAGCUUAAAACUCAGAUAUUCAGUAUCAAGAGAGUUACACUGAAGAUAACAAUUAAUAGUUCUGGCCUAAGACUCCCCUGAGGAGAAGCUGAUACCCCAGUUUAAGAACCAUGCUGCUAAAGUGUAGAAAUCAACUGAAGGCCACUGGUACCAUCAUUAAAAGUCAUAUUUUAAAGGAAAUUUAAUAAUAGGAAAAGCUUAUAAAUAUAAUACCUACUAAAAAUAUAGAACUCAAAACUGUAUAUAGUGUGAUCCUAACGAUUCUGAAAUAAACAUGUAAUAUUCUAUAUGCAUGGGAAAAGAUCAGAAAGUAUUAAACCAAAUGCUAGGAAUCAUUUCUAAAUGUGGUUGAAUUAUUUCUCUUUUUUGUUACAUACUUUUCAGAACUUCUUAAGCUCAUUACAACAGGCAUAUAUUACUGUUGUUUAUUAGGGGGAAGAAAACCCUAUGUCUACUAGAAACCAGCUCUUAUUCUACUUAGUCUUUUUUCAUGACUUCCAUAAUGUAUAAUGCUCCAAUGGAAGAUUGGAUAAAAAGGCAUCUUUCACAAGGAAGGGCAUUAUGUAAUGAUCUCUUCAUGAAAAUGUAGCUGAGUAUUGUGCACAAAAGCAAUGAACUCCUUAAGAGUGCUUUGUGCAACCAGUUCUUUACAUCUCUAGGACUCAGGGGCCGCCCUGGCAAUUCUCUAAGGUCAGCUAACCACAUUAUUAGAAGAGUAGUGGUUAGCAAGAUGGUAUCUUUCUUUGUUUUUAAGACAUUUAUUUAAUACGUGAUUCCUUUAGAGAGUUAUGUAGAGUAGCCUUGACAGCACUUUUAGCUCUCCCUGAAACAUGAAUCUCUUUCAUUUAAAAAUCCUUCUGUGAGCAGUUUCAGAGUUUGUCUUUUAAAAUACAAUUCUAAAGUGCUUUACCAGGAAGUCACUAGUGCUUUCCCUCCCCACCCAUGUUCCCAAGCCCUCGUUUCUUCAAACCAAUGAACAUUUUUAAAACUGCUUAGGUUUUCCUAAUUUUAAGUCUUCUGAGGUAGAAUUGGGAGGGGACCUUUGAGAUCACCAAGUCCCCACCUGUGCCGAGUAACUGUAUCAAGAGACUCAAGCUUGAAAAUGAAGUCACCACUGGGAAAUACUGCAGUGUAAGGUAGCAUUAUGUUUGCAGACCUUUUUUUAUGUUGACAUCUAUUACUCUUCCUUCUUCCUUGCUCUUUCAUGUAGAACAGUGGCAGCCUUUCUUAUAGAAGACUGUCCUCCCAUUUCUCCCUAAUCUUCUCUCCAAACCUAAUGCCUUCAACAUACUUUCCAGGGUUACCAUCCUCGUGGCCCUUCUCUGGACAAAUUGGCCUUGAAGGGUUGUGUCCUGUAGUCAAAGGUGCUGCUGUAGUACCUUUACUUGUUCUUAAUCUGAACCUCAUCAAUGCAAUGGCAAACACAUUGAUAAAAGUACUCCUACUACUAAUAAACCACUUAGUGAACACUAUUUACUAUGUGCUAGGACACCGUGCUAAAUACUUUAAAUAAAUAUCACUUAAUCUUAACAGUUUGGUUAAUUUUAACAGUUCCAGUAGAUUCUAAUUUUUAUUUCCAUGUCAAAGAUGAGAAAUAAAUGAAAUAAAUAAUUCAUCAGUGGUCAGUCAUCUGAUAAGUAGUGGAGCUAGGAAUUUGAAGCUAGAUCUCAUUCUGGUUCUGAGUUGUUGCACUUUGUUAAAAUUGAAAAAUUCAGUCAAACAGUAUUAGUAAUUUUGGGGGCAAGUGGGCAAUAAAAUAACCCAUAAGGCCACCUAACAUCUGUUUUUAUGCUCCCCCAAAGUUGCCUCAUGGUAUAUUUGACUCAUAUCAUAGUGUAUUAAAAUUCUUUUUCUGUCUCCCUCCUAUUCAAUAUCUUUGAUUUCUUAUUUAUCUUUCUUGAUAGUGCUUAUCAUGUAUAAGACAUCCCAGAACCUAAUAAUUUGUCAGUAAUUAGUGAAUAAACUUUUACAUAUGACUUGCCAGUCCUGGACUACAUGGGUACAUGUUUCAUGUAUCUACGAUCAGUGUAUAUACUGUUUUGCAUUCCUGCUUCUUGUAACAUCCUUGUGCAGGUUUUAUGUAGGCAUAAGUUUUCAACUUCUUUGGGUAAGUACCAGUGAGCAUGAUUGUUGGAUCAAAUAGUAAGCAUAUGUUUAAUUUUAUAAGAAAUUGCCAAACUCCAUUAAAAAAACAAAAAAA
rnacentral:lncRNA from 1 species